UACGUAGGCAGCGAGCGUUGUUCGGAGUUACUGGGCGUAAAGAGUGCGUAGGCGGUUUUCUAAGUUUGGUGUGAAAUCUCCCGGCUUAACUGGGAGGGUGCGCCGAAGACUGGAAGGCUUGAGUAUGGGAGAGGUGAGUGGAAUUCCGAGUGUAGAGGUGAAAUUCGUAGAUAUCUGGAGGAACACCGGUGGCGAAGGCGGCGUCCUGGACCAACACUGACACUGAUGAGCGAAAGCCAGGGGAGCAAACGGG
rnacentral:rRNA from 1 species